rnacentral:rRNA from 1 species
GACGAACGCUGGCGGCGUGCUUAACACAUGCAAGUCGAACGGUGAAGCGCCUUCCUUUUUGGUGGGUGUGGAUGAGUGGCGAACGGGUGAGUAACACGUGAGUAACCUGCCCCCUUCUUCUGGAUAACCGCAUGAAAGUGUGGCUAAUACGGGAUAUUCUGGGUCUGUCGCAUGAUGGGUCUGGGAAAGAUAUUGUUUCGGUGGGGGAUGGGCUCGCGGCCUAUCAGCUUGUUGGUGGGGUGAUGGCCUACCAAGGCGGUGACGGGUAGCCGGCCUGAGAGGGUGGACGGUCACACUGGGACUGAGACACGGCCCAGACUCCUACGGGAGGCAGCAGUGGAGAAUAGUGCACAAUGGGCGCAAGCCUGAUGCAGCGACGCCGCGUGAGGGAUGGAGGCCUUCGGGUUGUGAACCUCUUUCGCCAGUGAAGCAGGCCUGCCUCGUUUGUGGGUGGGUUGACGGUAGCUGGAUAAGAAGCGCCGGCUAACUACGUG